UUUAAAGUGAUGUUUUAAAUAUCGGUUUUUGGUUGUGUUUUUCAAUACUUUAAAAUUUCGAAAGUUGUGAAUUUAUAUAAUUAAAAAUCAUUUUAGACCAAUUGAUAUGAUCACACGUACUGUUCAGGAAUCCCAAGAAACCCCGACGAGUAUUUAACCGUCGAUUACACUCAACAGUCAUUUACUUGUUUUGGGGUUGAGAAAUUACUAUUGUUUAACACACACAUGGAGCUGAGACAAGCACAUGCAUUGCGUAAUGCCGGGCGAGGUAGAAACUUCAAAAUGAAACUUACUUCUGGAAUUGUCCGCACAUGCAGGGAGCGGAUUGAAGGAGAUUGUUGCUCUCGCAGUCGCGGACCGAAUUGACGACCACAUUGCGUGUGAAGCCGGCAAAGUAACGCAACAGUUUUCCCGUGCGUAGUAUGGAUGCCAUUGUGCACUAUUUACGUUAUUCAAAAAAACAAUAUUACAAAUUUAACACCAGCUAAAUGCAGGGCCAGCGCACACCGCAGGGUGACCUAAACAUGAAUUCCAAAUAAUACCAAAAAACUGAGAUAAAUAUAUAAAACAUUGCUUGUACGGUCACACUAUGAAAUCACAAAACUGUGCGGUUUGGAGACUACUUGCCAGGGCUGCAACAGCGUAUACCAAGGCAUACAUGUUCUAGAUAUCGUAGAUAUUUUUCAUAGGCACAGAAUAACGUGCUUUUUACGGUCGUUUAGAAAAGUACAGAUAGCAAUUGUUCGGUACUUUUUAUCGGCUACAAACAUAAAUCCUAUUUAAAUGAACUCCUAGAUAAUAAAAAAAUUUAAC